AAAAGUCAAUGACAUCUAGCAAAUUGUUUACUUGUUUACUGCAUUUUAGUCUUGGCAUUUGAAAUUGAACUAUAUGGUAUCUUUCAUUUAAAGUCUUAAGAGCUAUUUUCCAAAUGCUUGUAGUUUAAAGGUUUGACAUCUGCAAUCAAUAGUGUCACAGGGUGACUUUGUUUACUCACAUAUAUGUUGUUAUUUUGGUUGUUAAUUCUAUUUCGAUUUGCAGAACGUCAGUAUCUUAUAAAUGCUAUAUUCUGCAGACUUCGGUGUAUAAUACAUGUCCACAUUUUACAUCUAAUUAAUUAAGUAGUGUCCACUAUUUACUUGGGCAUUUACCUGUAAACUUGUCGAACGGGUUGAGUAACAGUGAUACCUGUAUUUGAUGAGCUGACUAUUCACUCUCAGGUAACGAGUCAAGGUGUGGUCAGAAAUGUUUGUAUAAAGUUAGUUUACAAUGUGGCGUGGACACACACACUGGAUUUCUGAGGUCCCAGUUUGCGGGCUAGGUGUAUGUAGUUUUGUAUAGUAAAGUAUGGAGAUAUAGUACAGAUGGUGGUGAAACCUGUUGACAGUGCGGCGUUCCGUGUUUAUCAUCAAUAGUUUGGCAACAUAGAAUAUUUGGAGUCGAGUCUAGACAAUAGGGCAGCCGUAAUGUGUACACCGCUUAUGUUGGGCCAGUUUUGUGUAGUUACCGAAAACCAAAUACGUAAAAUUCCGUAGUAUCGUUUAUCCAGAUUUCAUAGUUUAAUAUAAAGAAGAAGGAACAGUUCAUUAAACAUUUGACAGUAUUAUUUCAUUUGAUUUCAUCUAUUUAUAUUUGUAAAUUUGUACCUAAUUAAAUUGUUAUUUUGUUUAAA